rnacentral:rRNA from 1 species
ACGGGAGGCAGCAGUGGGGAAUAUUGCACAGUGGGGGAAACCCUGAUGCAGCGACGCCGCGUGAGCGAAGAAGGAUUUCGGUAUGUAAAGCUCUAUCAGCAGGGAAGAAAAUGACGGUACCUGACUAAGAAGCCCCGGCUAACUACGUGCCAGCAGCCGCGGUAAUACGUAGGGGGCAAGCGUUAUCCGGAUUUACUGGGUGUAAAGGGAGCGUAGACGGCAAGGUAAGUCUGAAGUGAAAUGCCGGGGCUCAACCCCGGAACUGCUUUGGAAACUAUCUCGCUCGAGUACCGGAGAGGUAAGCGGAAUUCCUAGUGUAGCGGUGAAAUGCGUAGAUAUUAGGAGGAACACCAGUGGCGAAGGCGGCUUACUGGACUGUAACUGACGCUGAGGCUCGAAAGCGUGGGGAGCAAACAGGAUUAGAUACCCUGGUA